CCAGCACUGAAGCCCGCGAUUGUUAAUCGGUCGCUGGGCAAUGUAGUGUUUGGGAGAGCCCGUUUAACCUAGGCAUUUACUGAUGCGUCCAAGUCCUUCUUGAAGGGGGCCCGUUCGCCCAUAGAGGGUGCUAGGCCCGUAGUGACCAUACAGUAUGUCUGGGUGGGUUUCUCCUUAGAGUCGAGUUGCUUGAGAGUGCAGCUCUAAGUGGGUGGUAAACUCCAUCUAAGGCUAAAUAUGACCACGAGACCGAUAGCGAACAAGUACCGUGAGGGAAAGUUGAAAAGAACUUUGCAGAGAGAGUUCAAGAGUACGUGAAACCGUUCAGGGGUAAACCUGAGAAGCCCGAAAGUUCGAACGGGGAGAUUCAUUUGCCUUUUCCAAUGGUAGCGAUACUGAUAGUGAUUUAUAUUGAGACAUUUCGUGCGUGCGUACAUUCUGUUUCGGCAGGGUACGUAGUCUGUACGUUAUGCUCCGCUAUUGUAUAUUAGUCUAUUAUUGGAGGCAUGCACUUCUCCUCUUGUAGGACGUCGCGACCCAUUGAGUAUGUUGUCUAAGGUCCAUAAUGGAGCCCGUGACGUCAAAUUUUAUAAUUUGUGCGUACCGGACUUAUGGUGUCCCGACAUCUACCCGAUGGUAUGACAUAUGAUGAUAAGCCGCAAAAUUAUUUGCAAUUCAGGCUCAUAGCAAGUAUAUGUACGGUCAGUAGAAUACGGACCUAGUGCCGAUUCUGCGCGUAUAUUACUGUUGGUUAUGAUGUUCUCUGAUUGAGGUUUUAUUAUUUUGAUAAAAGUUAUAUGCUUAAAUCAUCCGUCUGCGACGAUAAUGUUUUGGGUUGUUCUCAGGACCCGUCUUGAAACACGGACCAAGGAGUCUAGCAUGUGCGCAAGUCAUUGGGUACAUACAAUACCUAAAGGCGUAAUGAAAGUAAAAAUUUACUUCGGUAAAUUUAGGGAAGAUGGUUAACGUAUUAUGUUAACUCGCACUCCCGGGACGUCGCGUACUCAUGCGAGUGCG
rnacentral:rRNA from 1 species